rnacentral:rRNA from 1 species
GACGGAGGGUGCGGGCGUUAUUCGUUUUGAUUGGGCGUAAAGGGUACGUAGGCUGCUGUUGAAAAUUUUGGUCCAAAACGCGGAGUGUUCCUACGCGACGGCCUUUUAAAGAUUCGGCUUGUGUUAAAGAUAGGUUGGGGCAAUUUCUUGUGAAGGGGUAAAAUCCUACUAUAUAAGAACGAACGCCAGAUGGCGAAGGCGCCUUUCUAGCUUUAACAGACGCUAAGGUACGGAAGCCUGGGGAGCAAACAGA